CACCUUGAUUUUGGACUUCUAGCCUCCA
rnacentral:miRNA from 1 species